CCCCGCCGUAGUUCAAUGGAUAGAACGAGCGCCUCCUAAGCGCUAGAUGUGGGUUCGAUUCCCGCCGGGGGGGCCA
rnacentral:tRNA from 1 species